rnacentral:rRNA from 1 species
AUUGAACGCUGGCGGCAGGCCUAACACAUGCAAGUCGAACGAGUGGCGGACGGGUGAGUAAUGUAUGGGAAACUGCCUGAUGGAGGGGGAUAACUACUGGAAACGGUAGCUAAUACCGCAUACCAUCGGAUGUACCCAUAUGGGAUUAGCUAGUUGGUGGGGUAACGGCUCACCAAGGCGACGAUCCCUAGCUGGUCUGAGAGGAUGACCAGCCACACUGGGACGGAGACACGGGCCAGACUCCUACGGGAGGCAGCAGUGGGGAAUAUUGCACAAUGGGCGCAAGCCUGAUGCAGCCAUGCCGCGUGUAUGAAGAAGGCCUUAGGGUUGUAAAGUACUUUCAGCGGGGAGGCGUUACCCGCAGAAGAAGCACCGGCUAACUCCGUGCCAGCAGCCGCGGUAAUAC